CUGUGGGGUUUGUCUUCACUCGCGCCUGCGGUGAAAAACCGAUGCUUCGGGGCUGGCAGUACCUCUACAGACCCACCAGAUGGCGACUGUGGGAAGGAUGCCGAGCAGGACGAGAGAGGAAGAACUCCGUCGGGAGGGGUCAGGGCUUCCUGUCUGGAGGACCCGUCCGGAACAAUGCGCCUGCGAGGAGGUACUUCUCUGCUGCAAAGGGUUUUUGGGCCUCGGAUACAAAAAGGAACUCCGCGUUAGGAGCAGCCACCGGGUGCAUGUAAGUCGGUGGACCGGAAUCCGCCACCCCGCCCCGAUUUGUGUUUAACAUGAUUACAUAUAUCGAUGUUUUGAAAGUUAGCAGUGUGCUUCCGUAUUGAUAGAGGCUAAGCAUAUAGCCUAAACGUCGACGUACAGCACACAUAGAACGCGUUGGCGAACAUACACAGACUGAUUUCACUGUGAGAAACCUGAUGUAAUGUUUGUAUAAAUUUAUGAAAAAAGUGUAUAUAUAAAACGAUGGUUGUUCAUGAAGACAAGAAAUGUUCUUGGACACUUUAUGAAGACACCUGGACUGUACAGAAUAGACUUUGUAUAAUAGGCACAACAGGUGACUUUCUAAAAAUUAUAAAAAGACAUUCCUCCGCUUGCCGAACACGAGGAAAACGGGAAGAUGGAGCGGUAUUGGGAGGAUGACAAGGACUGGGCGGACGCCCGGUACAGGAGGAGCCGCAGGCCUACACGAGGCUUCUGGGGGCGCGAUGGCGUGGCGCAGAGGGGUCGAUGUCCGCAGGGACACCACACACACACACACACACACACACCAUUCCAACCCUAACCUGAAAUCGCCCCUCCGCGCGCACGGGGGGAGGGGGAAAGUGAAAUCUCACGUCUUCUUUGUCUUACAGGCCCGAACGGAGACAUCUCCUGGGGGCCAGUGAAUCACAGACCUUGAGGCCAGGGAGACAGACUAAAUUACAUAAAUGUGUAUAAAAGGGUCUAUGUGACAUGAAUAUUUUAUUGGUUAUGUAUAUAUAUAUAUAUAUACACCCCCUGAUACUCAUACGUGUUUGCGCGGCAAAACGACAACACAGGAGUUAUUUAGACAGCCAGGGUUUUAAACAUCAUUUGUACAUUGUUUAAAAUAUUGUAUAUAUCGUAGGACUGCUUCCUACGGGAUGCCGUGAUUUCCUUGCCCCGUCUAGGACCUACUGUGGUGUUUGUCUUCACUCGCGCCUGCGGUGAAAAAGCGAUGCUUUGGGGCUGGCAGUACCUCUGCAGACCCACCAGAUGGCCACUGUGGGAAGGAUGCCGAGCAGGACGAGAGAGGAAGAACUCCGUCAGGAGGGGUCAGUGCUUCCUGUCUGGAGGACCCGUCCGGAACAAUGUGCAUGCGCCUGCGAGGACGUACUUGUCUGCUGCAAAGGGGUUUUGGGCCUCGGAUUCAAAAAGGAAGUCUGCGUUAGGAGCAGCCACUGGGUGCAUGUAAGUCGGUGUACCGGAAUCCGUCCACCCGCCCUGAUUUGUGUUUAACAAGAUUAACAAUAUCGAUGUUUAGAAAGUUAACAGUGUGCUUCCGUAUUGAUAGAGGCUAAGCAUAAAGCCUAAACGUCGACGUAUAGCACACAUAGAACGUGUUGGUGAACAUACACAGACUGAUUUCACUGUUAGAAACCUCAUGUAAUGUUUGUGUAAAUUUAUGAAACAAGUGUGUGUAUAUAUAAAACGAUGGUUGUUAAUGAAGACACGAAACGUUCUUGGACACUUUAUUAGGACACCUGGACUGUACAGCAUUGACUUUUUAUAAUAGGCACAACAGGUGCCUUUAUAAAAAUUAUAAAAAGACAUUCCUCCGCUUGCCGAACACGAGGAAAACGGGAAGAUGGGGCGGUAUUGGGUGGAUGACGAGGACUGGCGGACGCCCGGUACAGGAGGCGCCACAGGCCUACACGAGGCUUCUGGGGAUGCGAUGGCGUGGCGCAGGGGGGUCGACGUCCGCAAGCACACGCACACACACCACACACACACACACACACACACACCAUUCCAGCCCAAACCCGAAAUCGCCCCUCCGCGCGCACGGGGGGAGGGGGAAAGUGAAAUCUCACGUCUUCUUGUCUUACAGGCCUGAACGGAGACAUCUCCUGGGGGCCAGUGAAUCACAGACCUUGAGGCCAGGGAGACAGACUAAAUUACAUAUAUGUGUAUAAAAGUGUCUAUGUGUACAUACCCACCAGAUGGCCACUGUGGGAAGGAUGCCGAGCAGGACGAGAGAGGAAGAACUCCGUCAGGAGGGGUCAGUGCUUCCUGUCUGGAGGACCCGUCCGGAACAAUGUGCAUGCGCCUGCGAGGAGGUACUUCUCUCCUGCAAAGGGUUAUUGGGCCUCCGAUACAAAAAGGAACUCUGCGUUAGGAGCAGCCACCGGGUGCAUGUAAGUCGGUCGACCGGAAUCCGGCCACCCACCCUGAUUUGUGUUUGACAUGAUAAGCAAUAUCGAUGUUUAGAAAGUUAGCAGUGUGCUUCUGUAUUGAUAGAGGCUAAGCAUAUAGCCUAAACGUCGACGUAUAGCACACAGAACGCGUUGCCUAACAUACACAGACUGAUUUCACUGUUAGAAACCUGAUGUAAUGUUUGUGUAAAUUUAUGAAACAAGUGUGUAUCUAUAAAACGAUGGUUGUUCAUGAAGACAAGAAACGUUCUUGGACACUUUAUUAGGACACCUGGACUGUACAGAAUACACUUUGUAUAAUAGGCACAACAGGUGCCUUUAUAAAAAUUAUAAAAAGACAAUCCGCCGCUUGCCGAACACGAGGAAAACGGGAAGAUGGGGCGGUAUUGGGAGGAUGACUAGGACUGGGCGGAUGCCCGGUACAGGAGGAGCCGCAGGCCUCCACGAGGCUUCUGGGGGCGUGAUGGCGUGGCGCAGAGGGGUCGAUGUCCGCAGGCACACACACACACACACACACACACACACACACACACACGAAUCCAGCCCUAACCCGAAAUCGCCCCUCCGCGCGCAUGGGGGGAGGGGGGAAGUGAAAUCUCACGUCUUCUUUGUCUUACAGGCCCAAACGGAGACAUCUCCUGGGGGCCAGUGACUCACAGACCUUGAGGCCAGGGAGACAGACUAAAUUAUAUAAAUGUGUAUAAAAGGGUCUAUUUGUACAUUUGUACAUGCAUGUUUUCUUGGUUAUGUGUGUAUGUAUAUAUAUAUAUAUAUAUAUAUACACACCCCCUGAUACUCAUACGUGUUUGCGCGGCAAAACGACAACACAGGAGUUAUUUAGACAGCCAGGGUUUUAAACAUCAUUUGUACAUUGUUUAAAAUAUUGUAUAUAUCGUAGGAGUGCUUCCUACGGGAUGCCGUGAUUUCCUUGCCCCGUCUAGGACCUACUGUGGUGUUUGUCUUCACUCGCGCCUGCGGUGAAAAAGCAAUGCUUCGGGGCUGGCAGUACCUCUGCAGACCCACCAGAUGGCGACUGUGGGAAGGAUGCUGAACAGGACGAGAGAGAAAGAACUCCGUCAGGAGGGGUCAGGGCUUCCUGUCUGGAGGACCCGUCCGGAACAAUGCGCAUGCGCCUGCGAAGAGGUACUUCUCUGCUGCAAAGUGUUUUUGGGCCUCAGAUACAAAAAGGAACUCCGCGUUAGGAGCAACCACCGUGUGCAUGUAAGUCGGUGGACCGGAAUCCGGCCACCCGCCCUGAUUUGUGUUUAACAUGAUAAGCAAUUUCGAUGUUUACAAAGUUAGCAGUGUGCUUCCGUAUUUGAUAGAGGCUAAGCAUAUAGCCCAAACGUCGACGUACAGCACACAUAGAACGCGUUGGCUAAUAUACACAGACUGAUUUCACUGUUAGAAAACUGAUGUCAUGUUUGUAUAAAUUUAUGAAACAAGUGUGAAUAUAUAAAACGAUGGCUGUUCAUGAAGACAAGAAACGUUCUUGGACACUUUAUUAGGACACCUGGACUGUACAGAAUAGACUUUGUAUAAUAGGCACAACAGGUGCCUUUGUAAAAAUUAUAAAAAGACAUUCCGCUGCUUGCUGAACACGAGGAAAACGGGAAGAUGGGGCGGUAUUGGGAGGUUGACGAGGACUGGGCGGACGAGGAGGCGCCGCAGGCCGACACGAGGCUUCUGGGGGCGAGAUGGCGUGGCGCAGGGAGGUCGAUGUCCGCAGGCACACACACACACACACACACACACACACACAACACACACACACCAAUCCAGCCCUAACCCGAAACCGCCCCUCCGCGCGCACGGGGGGAGGGGAAAAGUGAAAUCUCACGUCUUCUUUGUCUUACAGUCCCGAACGGAGACAUCUCCUGGGGGCCAGUGAAUCACAGACCUUGAGGCCAGGGAGACAGACUAAAUUAUAUAAAUGUGUAUAAAAGAGUCGAUGUGUACAUGUGUACAUGCAUGUUUUCUUGGUUAUGUGUGUGUGUGUGUGUAUAUAUAUAUAUAUAUAUAUAUAUAUAUAUAUAUAUAUAUAUAUAUAUAUAUAUCUUCUUCUUCUUCUUUUCCUUUUGGCUUGUCCCGUUAGGGGUCGCCACAGCGUGUCAUCUUUUGCCAUCUUAGCCUAUCUCCUGCAUCUUCCUCUCUAACCCCAACUGCCCUCAUGUCUUCCCUCACCACAUCCAUAAACCUUCUCUUUGGUCUUCCUCUCGCUCUUUUGCCUGGGAGCUCCAUCCUCAGCAUCCUUC